CCUACGGGAGGCAGCAGUGGGGAAUAUUGCGCAAUGGGGGAAACCCUGACGCAGCAACGCCGCGUGAGUGAGGAAGUAUCUCGGUAUGUAAAGCUCUAUCAGCAGGGAAGAAGAAAUGACGGUACCUGAGUAAGAAGCACCGGCUAAAUACGUGCCAGCAGCCGCGGUAAUACGUAUGGUGCAAGCGUUAUCCGGAUUUACUGGGGGUAAAGGGAGCGCAGGCGGCACGGCAAGCCUGAUGUGAAAGCCCGCGGCCCAACCGCGGGACUGCAUUGGGAACUACCGGGCUGGAGUGCCGGAGAGGUAGGCGGAAUUCCUAGUGUAGCGGUGAAAUGCGUAGAUAUUAGGAGGAACACCAGUGGCGAAGGCGGCCUACUGGACGGUGACUGACGCUGAGGCUCGAAAGCGUGGGGAGCAAACAGGAUUAGAUACCCCAGUAGUC
rnacentral:rRNA from 1 species